AUAGAAUUUACUCCCCAGGUCUUUCUUACCCAGCAUCCCAUUUGCAUGCUCACAGUGAGUAGGAAUACUUCAUGCUUAGGUACAUAUGUAGGAUAAAGUUUUCGCAUGACCCUGCCUCUCUCUAUUCCCUUGAUCUUGGCUGCUGAAGCUGGUUUUGAGCCAGGACUAAAAUGAAAGAACACUAAAAAGAUGAAUAUGCAAAUGCAUACUCUUCUGCCAACAAUUUUAAAAACCAGCCAACUAAACCAAAGUCAAAACAGAAAUGAAGAAUAAAAUGAGAUGAGAAGUCAGUACAUCUACAUUCAAAUAGAAGAUUUCUUUGACAGUCAGUGUUAAUGAACUGAGGAGGCAAAUUUGGUAUCAGCCCAUGGGACUUUUCCUUCUAAAUUCCAAUCAAAUUAUAUGGAGCUAUGUGCUAGACUGAGAGUCCUCCCACAUGAAGGCAAUUUUUCAGCAAGCACUGACAAAAACAGGAAAAGAAAAAUGAAACAAGAAGAUAAAAUGAAUUUGAAACUCAAUGGAAGAAGAGCUCACAUUCUUUUUGGAAGAAAUAUAGGACUUGGCAGAAUUGAACAAGGCCAAGGGAAUCUCACAACUGAUGACCUCUUGCUGAUGAGUCUGGAGAAGUCCCAGUGCAAAAUCACCAGCAGCAGCUCUGUUGAAAAUCACUUUUCAACAACAGCAGCAGGGAUAAGCAGAAUCUCAAGGAAAGCCACAAGAGAGGGAAUAUCUGGCUCUCUAGGUCCACCCCACAAUAACCAGACAGAAAACCCUCUUGACUCUUCUGACUAUUAGGGAAAGCAACAGCCUAUCACUCCCCCAACGUUCUGGAGUCUUUCUGCUUUGAAGGAUUUCCUGCUUUUACCUUGUUCCUGCUUUGUAGCAAAAGGCUAAUCCUAUAUUUCCUACAACAGAUCCUAUGACUGUAUAAUUUACAAGAGUUUGGCAUACAUAAUCUAAGUAUUUCUAAGUAGUACUCUUUUAUAAUGAUUUAUUAUAAACAAAUUAAUGGAAUGAUGAAAUUCAUGAACAGUAAAUCCAUUUUCCUCCUCAUUUCUAUUAAUUAAAAAUACAAUACCUUGAAGCCUGGAUAUUUUGGAGUUAUAGAUGCUGAGAUCACCACAGCAUUUAAUUCCCUAUUCAGUCCAUUUCAAUUCAUAGAGAUUUAUAUCUUUCUUUAACCUUCUUCCCCCAAAUGGAAAGAUUUCCUAAUAUGACUGAAUAUUAGAAGAGAAAGCAACAGACAAACUAAUUCACUUAUACCCAAGUCCUAUAGGAGAAAAUUUUGCCCAAGCAAAGAUUCUCAAUACUAUUGAUUUUAUUAAAAACCUGUUCCUUCUAUAGAACAUAUGGGGAUGGGAGGGGUAAUGAAGAAAGGGAAAAUAAAUCUGGCGGGAUAUUAUGAAGUAACUAAAAG
rnacentral:lncRNA from 1 species